CGUGAUAAGCUGCGAUAAGCUUCGGGGAGUUGCACGUAAACUUUGAUCCGAAGAUUUCCGAAUGAGGAAACUCACUUAGAGUAAUGUCUAAGUAUCAUUAAGUGAAUACAUAGCUUAAUGAGGGGAACUCAGGGAACUGAAACAUCUAAGUACCUGAAGGAAGAGAAAGAAAUUCGAUUCCGUAAGGAGCGGCGAGCGAACGCGGAUUAGCCCAAAC
rnacentral:rRNA from 1 species